rnacentral:rRNA from 1 species
UUCGCCCUUAGAGUUUGAUCCUGGCUCAGGACGAACGCUGGCGGCGCGCCUAACACAUGCAAGUCGAACGGAGCUUAGAGAGCUUGCUUUUUAAGCUUAGUGGCGAACGGGUGAGUAACGCGUGAGUAACCUGCCCUAGAGUGGGGGACAACAGUUGGAAACGACUGCUAAUACCGCAUAAGCCCACGGUACCGCAUGGUACUGAGGGAAAAGGAUUUAUUCGCUUUAGGAUGGACUCGCGUCCAAUUAGCUAGUUGGUGAGGUAACGGCCCACCAAGGCGACGAUUGGUAGCCGGACUGAGAGGUUGAACGGCCACAUUGGGACUGAGACACGGCCCAGACUCCUACGGGAGGCAGCAGUGGGGGAUAUUGCACAAUGGGGGAAACCCUGAUGCAGCGACGCCGCGUGGAGGAAGAAGGUUUUCGGAUUGUAAACUCCUGUCGUUAGGGACGAUAAUGACGGUACCUAACAAGAAAGCACCGGCUAACUACGUGCCAGCAGCCGCGGUAAAACGUAGGGUGCAAGCGUUGUCCGGAAUUACUGGGUGUAAAGGGAGCGCAGGCGGGAAGACAAGUUGGAAGUGAAAACCAUGGGCUCAACCCAUGAAUUGCUUUCAAAACUGUUUUUCUUGAGUAGUGCAGAGGUAGAUGGAAUUCCCGGUGUAGCGGUGGAAUGCGUAGAUAUCGGGAGGAACACCAGUGGCGAAGGCGGUCUACUGGGCACCAACUGACGCUGAGGCUCGAAAGCAUGGGUAGCAAACAGGAUUAGAUACCCUGGUAGUCCAUGCCGUAAACGAUGAUUACUAGGUGUUGGGGGAUUGACCCCCUCAGUGCCGCAGUUAACACAAUAAGUAAUCCACCUGGGGAGUACGACCGCAAGGUUGAAACUCAAAGGAAUUGACGGGGGCCCGCACAAGCAGUGGAGUAUGUGGUUUAAUUCGAAGCAACGCGUAGAACCUUACCAGGUCUUGACAUCCAACUAACGAAGCAGAGAUGCAUUAGGUGCCCUUCGGGGAAAGUUGAGACAGGUGGUGCAUGGUUGUCGUCAGCUCGUGUCGUGAGAUGUUGGGUUAAGUCCCGCAACGAGCGCAACCCUUGUGAUUAGUUGCUACGCAAGAGCACUCUAAUCAGACUGCCGCUGACAAAACGGAGGAAGGUGGGGACGACGUCAAAUCAUCAUGCCCUUUAUGACCUGGGCUACACACGUACUACAAUGGUCGUUAACAGAGGGAAGCAAUACCGCGAGGUGGAGCAAAACCCUAAAAACGGUCUCAGUUCAGAUUGUAGGCUGCAACUCGCCUACAUGAAGUUGGAAUUGCUAGUAAUCGCGGAUCAGCAUGCCACGGUGAAUACGUUCCCGGGCCUUGCACUCACCGCCCGUCA